UACAGAGACUGCAAGCGUUAUUCGGAUUCACUGGGCGUAAAGGGUGCGCAGGCGGCCAAGUGUGUCAGGUGUGAAAUCCCGAGCUUAACCUCGGAACUGCGCCUGAAACUACUUGGCUAGAGUACUGGAGAGGGUAACGGAAUUCACGGUGUAGCAGUGAAAUGCGUAGAUAUCGUGAGGAACACCAGAGGCGAAGGCGGCUACCUGGACAAUUGCUGACGCUCAGGCACGAAAGCGUGGGGGAGCAAAAGGG
rnacentral:rRNA from 1 species